UCAAGUGUUAUCCACUUAUGAUAUUACUUGAUGCAUGUUUCAUGUAUAUACAAAUUAUUGAAGUGUACUAAUUGAAUCUAGAGAAUUUUAAAUGGUUUAAACUGGAUGCUUCGAUUCAUGUAGCUUGUUUUAAAUGUCCUGUCUUGUGUUGCAGAUUUGUUUGGAAUAAAAGACAUCUAGCUGUGGUAUUUAGUGCUUAAAUGUAAUAUAAGCAAAUUAAGUGGUUAGAACAAAAGCAAACUAGUUGAAUGCCUUGUCAUUAUUGCUGGCAUAUAGUGCAGGACCCGACUACUUUCAUCUCAUUUAAGGGUGGAAUCGAGAAAGCCAGAAUGAUUUUCAUCAGCUGAACCAAUAUCUCGUUUACGAAUUGAAUGAUUUUCAUCAGCUGAACCAAUAUCUCCUGAUGCACGCCUGCAUAUUGUUUCUGAGCAUGUUGACAUUAUUGAUAAUCUCAUCUUUCCCAUUUCGAUAGGUCCUCCAAAUUCGAAGAUUAUAAAAUCACCGGACAAGAGUACAUGGACUCCAAAAAACUGUAGAUGAUUCUGUUUUGGCUGACAAGUCUGCAUUGGUAUUGUUCCACCUCAUUUCUAAGAGCAUUUUGUUUUAAGAGAGCGUCUGUUGACCCAACUGGGGAUUAUAGCACACAGCAUUUGCCUAUUGCGGUGAGGAGAGAGGCUGUUGAAUCUGAAGGUUGUCUGAAGCUCUUUUUUGGGUCUGAGAAGAUUAAAUCUCAAGUGGAAGUUCAUCAAUCGAUCUCUCAACCGAGUAGAUCAAAUCUAUUGCAGUUGGGAAUCAUCGGUUGUUUAUGGUGCAUUGCUGAAAAUUUAAUUUAGAUUCUCAGACCCAAAAAAGGGACUCGAGAGCUAAGUCAGAAUCUUUUUGUGGGUGUGCUCCGAGCAGCAAUCAAAAUCAAAGGUAACUGAGAUCUUGAAGCUGAUAAGAAGAGAAUUAAGUGCAGUAAUGAUCUGUCCUUUGACUUGGUAAAUUUUACAUGCCAAUCAACUUUGUCAUUGAUAAGCAUUGGGGAAAGCGUAAUGAACUCCCAAGGUAAUUUCACCUUCAACCAGAUGUGUCAUUUUUUCAGAUGAGUAUACUGAAGUUUUGUGAAAUUAAAUGCAUGCUUUGCUUGAUACUGCUGAUUUCAAAAAAUUAAAGCUGUCUGUGCAGUCACAAAGAACCAAAUGCAUUACAUAAUGAAUAGAGACUACAGAAAUGCCAGCAUAAUGAAUG